rnacentral:rRNA from 1 species
CUACGGGGCGCAGCAGGCGAGAAAACUUUGCAAUGUGCGAAAGCACGACAAGGUUAAUCCGAGUGGUUUGUGCUAAACGAACCUUUUGACAGUCCUAGAAACACUGUUGAAUAAGGGGUGGUCAAGUUCUGGUGUCAGCCGCCGCGGUAAAACCAGCACCUCAAGUGGUCAGGAUGAUUAUUGGGCCUAAAGCAUCCGUAGCCGGCUCUGUAAGUUUUCGGUUAAAUCUGUACGCUCAACGUACAGGCUGCCGGGAAUACUGCAGAGCUAGGGGGUGGGAGAGGUAGACGGUACUCGGUAGGAAGGGGUAAAAUCCUUUGAUCUAUUGAUGACCACCUGUGGCGAAGGCGGUCUACCAGAACACGUCCGACGGUGAGGGAUGAAAGCUGGGGGAGCAAACCGGAUUAGAUACCCCUGUAGUC